rnacentral:rRNA from 1 species
CGCGUAGGCGGCUUGGUAAGUCAAAGGUGAAAUCCCUCGGCUCAACUGAGGAAUUGCCUUUGAAACUGCCUGGCUUGAGGCCGGGAGGGGGUAGCGGAAUUCCCAGUGUAGCGGUGAAAUGCGUAGAUACUGGGAGGAACACCAGUGGCGAAGGCGGCUACCUGGACCGGUUCUGACGCUGAUGCGCGAAAGCGUGGGGAGCAAACAGGAUUAGAUACCCUGGUAGUCCACGCUGUAAACGAUGGGUGCUCGGUGUCGCGGGUAUCGACCCCUGCGGUGCCUUAGCUAACGCGUUAAGCACCCCGCCUGGGGAGUACGGUCGCAAGGCUGAA